rnacentral:rRNA from 1 species
UACGAAGGGUGCAAGCGUUACUCGGAAUUACUGGGCGUAAAGCGUGCGUAGGUGGUGAGUUAAGUCUGUCGUGAAAGCCCCGGGCUCAACCUGGGAAUGGCGAUGGAUACUGGCUCGCUAGAGUGCGGUAGAGGAGAGUGGAAUUCCCGGUGUAGCAGUGAAAUGCGUAGAGAUCGGGAGGAACAUCAGUUGCGAAGGCGGCAUCCUGGCCCUGUCCUGACGCUCAGGGGCGAAAGCGUGGGGAGCAAACCGG